rnacentral:tRNA from 1 species
UGGCUCAUGGUGUAAUGGCAGCACAAAAGGCUUUGAUCCUUUUAGUCUAGGUUCGAGUCCUGGUGAGCCAA